rnacentral:rRNA from 1 species
GGGUUGUGAGGUUAAGCGACUAAGCGUACACGGUGGAUGCCCUGGCAGUCAGAGGCGAUGAAGGACGUGCUAAUCUGCGAAAAGCGCCGGCGAGGUGAUAUGAACCUUUGACCCGGCGAUGUCCGAAUGGGGAAACCCAGUGCAAUCCGUUGCACUAUCGUUAACUGAAUACAUAGGUUAACGAGGCGAACCGGGGGAACUGAAACAUCUAAGUACCCCGAGGAAAAGAAAUCAACCGAGAUUCCCCCAGUAGCGGCGAGCGAACGGGGAGCAGCCCGGAGUCUGAAUCAGCUUGUGUGUUAGUGGAACGGUCUGGAAAGUCCGACGGUACAGGGUGAUAGUCCCGUACACGAAAGCACACUUGCUGUGAACUCGAAGAGUAGGGCGGGACACGUGGUAUCCUGUCUGAAUAUGGGGGGACCAUCCUCCAAGGCUAAAUACUCCUGACUGACCGAUAGUGAACCAGUACCGUGAGGGAAAGGCGAAAAGAACCCCGGCGAGGGGAGUGAAAAAGAACCUGAAACCGUGUACGUACAAGCAGUGGGAGCCUCUUUAUGGGGUGACUGCGUACCUUUUGUAUAAUGGGUCAGCGACUUAUAUUCUGUAGCAAGGUUAACCGUAUAGGGGAGCCGAAGGGAAACCGAGUCUUAACUGGGCGUUAAGUUGCAGGGUAUAGACCCGAAACCCGGUGAUCUAGCCAUGGGCAGGUUGAAGGUUGGGUAACACUAACUGGAGGACCGAACCGACUAAUGUUGAAAAAUUAGCGGAUGACCUGUGGCUGGGGGUGAAAGGCCAAUCAAACCGGGAGAUAGCUGGUUCUCCCCGAAAGCUAUUUAGGUAGCGCCUCGUGAACUCAUCUUCGGGGGUAGAGCACUGUUUCGGCUAGGGGGCCAUCCCGGCUUACCAACCCGAUGCAAACUACGAAUACCGAAGAAUGUUAUCACGGGAGACACACGGCGGGUGCUAACGUCCGUCGUGAAGAGGGAAACAACCCAGACCGCCAGCUAAGGUCCCAAAGUCAUGGUUAAGUGGGAAACGAUGUGGGAAGGCACAGACAGCCAGGAUGUUGGCUUAGAAGCAGCCAUCAUUUAAAGAAAGCGUAAUAGCUCACUGGUCGAGUCGGCCUGCGCGGAAGAUGUAACGGGGCUAAACCAUGCACCGAAGCUGCGGCAGCGACGCUUAUGCGUUGUUGGGUAGGGGAGCGUUCUGUAAGCCGUUGAAGGUGUCCUGUGAGGGGUGCUGGAGGUAUCAGAAGUGCGAAUGCUGACAUAAGUAACGAUAAAGCGGGUGAAAAGCCCGCUCGCCGGAAGACCAAGGGUUCCUGUCCAACGUUAAUCGGGGCAGGGUGAGUCGACCCCUAAGGCGAGGCCGAAAGGCGUAGUCGAUGGGAAACAGGUUAAUAUUCCUGUACUUGGUGUUACUGCGAAGGGGGGACGGAGAAGGCUAUGUCAGCCGGGCGACGGUUGUCCCGGUUUAAGCAUGUAGGCGGAGGUUCCAGGUAAAUCCGGUACCUUGUUAACGCUGAGGUGUGAUGACGAGGCACUACGGUGCUGAAGUGAUAAAUGCCCUGCUUCCAGGAAAAGCCUCUAAGCAUCAGGUAACACGAAAUCGUACCCCAAACCGACACAGGUGGUCAGGUAGAGAAUACCAAGGCGCUUGAGAGAACUCGGGUGAAGGAACUAGGCAAAAUGGUGCCGUAACUUCGGGAGAAGGCACGCUGAUGUGUAGGUGAAGUCCCUGCGGACGGAGCUGAAAUCAGUCGAAGAUACCAGCUGGCUGCAACUGUUUAUUAAAAACACAGCACUGUGCAAACACGAAAGUGGACGUAUACGGUGUGACGCCUGCCCGGUGCCGGAAGGUUAAUUGAUGGGGUUAGCGGCAACGCGAAGCUCUUGAUCGAAGCCCCGGUAAACGGCGGCCGUAACUAUAACGGUCCUAAGGUAGCGAAAUUCCUUGUCGGGUAAGUUCCGACCUGCACGAAUGGCGUAAUGAUGGCCAGGCUGUCUCCACCCGAGACUCAGUGAAAUUGAACUCGCUGUGAAGAUGCAGUGUACCCGCGGCAAGACGGAAAGACCCCGUGAACCUUUACUAUAGCUUGACACUGAACACUGGUCCUUGAUGUGUAGGAUAGGUGGGAGGCUUUGAAGCGUGGACGCCAGUCUGCGUGGAGCCAACCUUGAAAUACCACCCUUUAAUGGCUGGUGUUCUAACGUAGACCCGUAAUCCGGGUUGCGGACAGUGUCUGGUGGGUAGUUUGACUGGGGCGGUCUCCUCCCAAAGAGUAACGGAGGAGCACGAAGGUUGGCUAAUCCUGGUCGGACAUCAGGAGGUUAGUGCAAUGGCAUAAGCCAGCUUGACUGCGAGCGUGACGGCGCGAGCAGGUGCGAAAGCAGGUCAUAGUGAUCCGGUGGUUCUGAAUGGAAGGGCCAUCGCUCAACGGAUAAAAGGUACUCCGGGGAUAACAGGCUGAUACCGCCCAAGAGUUCAUAUCGACGGCGGUGUUUGGCACCUCGAUGUCGGCUCAUCACAUCCUGGGGCUGAAGUAGGUCCCAAGGGUAUGGCUGUUCGCCAUUUAAAGUGGUACGCGAGCUGGGUUUAGAACGUCGUGAGACAGUUCGGUCCCUAUCUGCCGUGGGCGCUGGAGAAUUGAGGGGGGCUGCUCCUAGUACGAGAGGACCGGAGUGGACGCAUCACUGGUGUUCGGGUUGUCAUGCCAAUGGCACUGCCCGGUAGCUAAAUGCGGAAAAGAUAAGUGCUGAAAGCAUCUAAGCACGAAACUUGCCCCGAGAUGAGUUCUCCCUGAGACUUUAAGUCUCCUGAAGGAACGUUGAAGACUACGACGUUGAUAGGUCGGGUGUGUAAGCGCAGCGAUGCGUUGAGCUAACCGAUACUAAUGAACCGUGAGGCUUAACCUUACAACGCCGAAGCUGUU